rnacentral:rRNA from 1 species
UACGUAGGUGGCAAGCGUUGGCCGGAAUUAUUGGGCGUAAAGCGCGCGCAGGCGGUCCUUUAAGUCUGAUGUGAAAGCCCACGGCUCAACCGUGGAGGGUCAUUGGAAACUGGGGGACUUGAGUGCAGAAGAGGAGAGUGGAAUUCCCGGUGUAGCGGUGAAAUGCGCAGAUAUCGGGAAGAACACCCGUGGCGAAGGCGGCUCUCUGGGACGGUACUGACGCUGAGACGCGAAAGCGUGGGGAGCAAACAGG